CUCUCUUUGCUUUGUGAUUCCCAACAGCACGUUGGAAGCUCGUAUGGUAGCAACAGUUUUUUGUGAUUAUAGUACAAAUAACUUGCACCUACAAAUUUGCGGCUGGUGCAGUUUGGAACAAGACUUUAUCCCUGCAAAAAGUUCAAAUUGCAAGGUAAGAACUCCUAGUACAUUAAUGCAUCGACAGUUCAUAAAGGCUAGGACAGUUUUUUUGCUCAUGAGACAAUACACUUGCUGGGGUACUAAUCCAGUAACAUAUGCUUACCUUUCUGUAAAGUCGAGGUUACACACAGACAUUGUAUAAAAUCCUUGAAACCGAGCCGUGUACACUGGAUUCUGAGCAAUGCAUGUAUCACCAUACUGGGGUUCUAU
rnacentral:lncRNA from 1 species